AAAAUUGACCCAAAAAUCCCCAAAAAAUUCGCAAAAAAUCCCAAAAAAAUUUCAAAAAAAAUCCAAAAAAAUUCCCAAAAAUUCCCAAAAAAAUCCCAAAAAAAUUUAAAAAAAACCCCAAAAAAUCCCGAAAUUUGCCCAAAAAUUCCCAAAAAAGUUCCAAAAAUUCUCAAAAAUUCCCUCCCAAAAAUUCCCCAAAAUUCCCAAAAAAUUCCCCAGAAAUUCCCAAAAAAAUCCCAAAAAAUUGUAAAAAAUUCCCAAAAAUUCCCAAAAGUUCCCAAAAAGAAUCCCCCAAAAUUCCCAAAAAAUCCCCAAAAAAUUUCAAAAAAAUUCCCAAAAAUUCCCCAAAAGAAUCCCAAAAAAUCCCAAAAAAAAUCACAAAAAAAUCUCCCAAAAUUCCCCAAAAAAUUCCCAAAAAAACCCCCAAAAAAUUUGAAAAAAAAUCCCCAAAAAAUCCCAAAAUUUCCCCAAAAAUUCCCCAAAAAUUCCCAAAAAAUCCCAAAAAAUUCCCUAAAAAAUUCCCAAAAAACCCCCAAAAAAUUUCAAAACAAAUCCAAAAAAAUUCCCAAAAUCGCCCCAAAAAUUCCCAAAAAAGUUCCAAAUAUUCUCAAAAAUUCCCCAAAAAAUCCCCAAAAAUUCCAAAAAAAUCCCCAAAAAAUCCCAAAAAAAAUCCCCAAAAAUUCCCCAAAAAAUCCCAAAACAUUCCCAAAAAUCCAAAAAAAAAAUUCCCCAAAAUUCCCAAAAAAUCCCAAAAAAAUCCCCAAAAAAUUUCAAAAAAAAUCCCCCAAAAAUUCCCAAAAAUUUCCCCAAAAUUCCCCCAAAAAAAUCCCCAAAAAUCCCCAAAAAUUUCCCCAAAAUUCCCCCAAAAAUUCCAAAAAAAAUCCCAAAAAUUCCCCAAAAAUUCCCAAAUUUCCUCCGGAUUUUCCCCGCAUUUUUCCCGCAUUUCCCCCGCAUUUUUCCCGGAUUUUUCCCGGGAUUUUCCGGAAUUUUCCGCACCUCUGGAUCUCCUGGCGCUGC
rnacentral:lncRNA from 1 species